CUGAAAGAAAUAGGUCAUUCUCUUAAGUACGUCACUACUACUCUUGCUUAUCCAGACCUAAACAUGUUCAAUGACAUGAAGGACUCCCUGGAAUAGUUGAAAAUUUUCAUAAAAGAAUAUUGAGGUUGAGCAUCUAGAACGUGACUUGUAACCAUCCUUAUGCAUUUUGAAGAAAGAUGAUGUAGAACUAGAUGCAACAAAAGACUAUGAACAACUCAAAGUUGAAAAAGAAGUUGUAAAUUUUUUAGUUUUUUGAACAAUUGCAACUAAAUUUAAUGUUAAGCAAAUUCAUAUUUAAUUA